rnacentral:rRNA from 1 species
UACGAAGGGGGCUAGCGUUGCUCGGAAUCACUGGGCGUAAAGGGUGCGUAGGCGGGUUUUUAAGUCAGGGGUGAAAUCCCGGGGCUCAACUCCGGAAUUGCCUUUAAGACUGCAUCGCUAGAAUUGUGGAGAGGUAAGUGGAAUUCCGAGUGUAGAGGUGAAAUUCGUAGAUAUUCGCAAGAACACCAGUGGCGAAGGCGGCUCACUGGCCCGAUACUGACGCUGAGGCACGAAAGCGUGGGGAGCAAACAGG